rnacentral:lncRNA from 1 species
AGAGGGGAACUGACGAGUCUGGCAGUAUGCACAAGUUAUGGACACAACUCAAAUCAUUGAAAAUGGAAUUGAAAGAACUGAACACUCACGUGGCAUCUUAUAGAACCCAUCUCCAUGCAGCAAGACAGAAGCUACAGACCAUACAGUUAGAACUGUCGGUGAGAAAUCUGGACCAACAGCUGAUCGACAAAGAAAAAAAAAUCCUUAACAGAAGUAGAGAAACGGAGCACAAU